CCUACGGGUGGCUGCAGUGGGGAAUAUUGGACAAUGGGCGAAAGCCUGAUCCAGCCAUGCCGCGUGUGUGAAGAAGGCCUUCGGGUUGUAAAGCACUUUCAGUGGGGAAGAAAGCCUUGGGGCUAAUACCCUCGAGGAAGGACAUCACCCACAGAAGAAGCACCGGCUAACUCCGUGCCAGCAGCCGCGGUAAUACGGAGGGUGCGAGCGUUAAUCGGAAUUACUGGGCGUAAAGCGCGUGUAGGCGGUCUGAUAAGCCGGUUGUGAAAGCCCCGGGCUCAACCUGGGAACGGCAUCCGGAACUGUCAGGCUAGAGUGCAGGAGAGGAAGGUAGAAUUCCCGGUGUAGCGGUGAAAUGCGUAGAGAUCGGGAGGAAUACCAGUGGCGAAGGCGGCCUUCUGGACUGACACUGACGCUGAGGUGCGAAAGCGUGGGUAGCAAACAGGAUUAGAUACCCCAGUAGUC
rnacentral:rRNA from 1 species